GCUAUACAUGCAUGUCGAGCGGAGUUCUUCGGAACUUAGCGGCGAAUGGGUGAGUAACACGUACUUAACGUGCCUUUUAGAUUGGAAUAACGCUGAGAAAUUAGCGCUAAUGCCGGAUACUUAUUAUUUUCGCAUGAAAACAAUAUAAAAGAAGCGCUUGCUUCACUAAAAGAUCGGGGUGCGGAACAUUAGCUAGUUGGUAAGGUAAUGGCUUACCAAGGCGAUGAUGUUUAGCGGGGUUGAGAGACUGAUCCGCCACACUGGGACUGAGAUACGGCCCAGACUCCUACGGGAGGCAGCAGUAGGGAAUUUUCCACAAUGGACGAAAGUCUGAUGGAGCGACACAGCGUGCAGGAAGACGGCCUUCGGGUUGUAAACUGCUGUUAUAAGGGAAGAAAAAGCAGAGGAGGAAAUGCCUUUGUCUUGACGGUACCUUGUCAGAAAGCAACGGCUAACUAUGUGCCAGCAGCCGCGGUAAUACAUAGGUUGCAAGCGUUAUCCGGAAUUAUUGGGCGUAAAGCGUCUGUAGGUUGUAUGUUAAGUCUGGCGUCAAAACUUGGGGCUCAACCCCAAAUCGCGUUGGAUACUGGCAUACUAGAAUUGUGUAGAGGUUAGCGGAAUUCCUAGUGAAGCGGUGAAAUGCGUAGAUAUUAGGAAGAACACCAACAUGGCGAAGGCAGCUAACUGGGCACAUAUUGACACUGAGAGACGAAAGCGUGGGGAGCAAACAGGAUUAGAUACCCUGGUAGUCCACGCCGUAAACGAUGAUGAUUAGCUGAUGGGAACCAUCGGCACAGCUAACGCAUUAAAUCAUCCGCCUGAGUAGUAUGCUCGCAAGAGUGAAACUUAAAGGAAUUGACGGGGAUCCGCACAAGCGGUGGAGCAUGUGGUUUAAUUUGAAGAUACGCGUAGAACCUUACCCACUCUUGACAUCUUCCGCAAAACUAUAGAGAUAUAGUGGAGGCUAACGGAAUGACAGAUGGUGCAUGGUUGUCGUCAGCUCGUGUCGUGAGAUGUUCGGUUAAGUCCUGCAACGAGCGCAACCCCUAUCCUUAGUUAAAUGUUCUAGGGAGACUGCCCGAGUAAUUGGGAGGAAGGUGGGGACGACGUCAAAUCAUCAUGCCUCUUACGAGUGGGGCAACACACGUGCUACAAUGGAUGGUACAAAGAGAAGCAAUACGGCGACGUGGAGCAAAUCUCAAAAAACCAUUCUCAGUUCGGAUUGUAGUCUGCAACUCGACUACAUGAAGUCGGAAUCGCUAGUAAUCGUAGAUCAGCUACGCUACGGUGAAUACGUUCUCGGGUCUUGUACACACCGCCCGUCACACCAUGGGAGCUGGUAAUGCCCGAAGUCGGUUUUGUUAACUACGGAGACAACUGCCUAAGGCAGA
rnacentral:rRNA from 1 species